GACGAACGCUGGCGGCGUGCCUAAUACAUGCAAGUCGAACGCUGAAGGAGGAGCUUGCUCUUCUGGAUGAGUUGCGAACGGGUGAGUAACGCGUAGGUAACCUGCCUGGUAGCGGGGGAUAACUAUUGGAAACGAUAGCUAAUACCGCAUAAUAGUAGAUGUUGCAUGAUAUUUACUUAAAAGGUGCAAUUGCACCACUACCAGAUGGACCUGCGUUGUAUUAGCUAGUUGGUGGGGUAACGGCUCACCAAGGCGACGAUACAUAGCCGACCUGAGAGGGUGAUCGGCCACACUGGGACUGAGACACGGCCCAGACUCCUACGGGAGGCAGCAGUAGGGAAUCUUCGGCAAUGGACGAAAGUCUGACCGAGCAACGCCGCGUGAGUGAAGAAGGUUGUCGGAUCGUAAAGCUCUGUUGUAAGAGAAGAACGAGUGUGAGAGUGGAAAGUUCACACUGUGACGGUAGCUGACCAGAAAGGGACGGCUAACUACGUG
rnacentral:rRNA from 1 species